GACGAACGCUGGCGGCGUGCCUAAUACAUGCAAGUCGAACGCAGUGGGGACGGUGGAGUAAAACGUGGGUAACCUCGCAUAAGAGGGGAUAACACUUGGAAACAGGUGCUAAACCGAGACGGAUGGAUGGACCCUCGGUGGAUUAGCUAGUUGGUGAGGUAACGGCUCACCAAGGCCACGAUGCAUAGCCGACCUGAGAGGGUGAUCGGCCACACUGGAACUGAGACACGGCCCAGACUCCUACGGUAGGCAGCAGUAGGGAAUAUUCGGCAAUGGACGAAAGUCUGACCGAGCAACGCCGCGUGAGUGAAGAAGGUCUUCGGAUCGUAAAGCUCUGUUGUUAGAGAAGCGGUAUCUAACCAAAAAGCCACGGCUAACUACGUGCCAGCAGCCGCGGUAAUAC
rnacentral:rRNA from 1 species